AAUCAACGCUGGCGGCGUGCCUCAGACAUGCAAGUCGAACGAGAAAGUCCCCUUCGGGGGGGUGAGUAAAGUGGCGCACGGGUGAGUAACACGUAGGUAAUCUACCUUCGGGUGGGGAAUAACCCAGGGAAACUUGGGCUAACACCGCAUAAUGCAGCGGCACCACAUGGUGACAGUUGUUAAAGCGGGGGAUUUUAGGACCUCGCGCCUGAAGAGGAGCCUGCGGCGGAUUAGCUAGUUGGUAGGGAACGGCUUACCAAGGCGACGAUCCGUAACCGGCCUGAGAGGGCGGUCGGUCACACUGACACUGACAUACGGGUCAGACUCCUACGGGAGGCAGCAGUCGGGAAUUUUGGGCAAUGGGCGAAAGCCUGACCCAGCAACG
rnacentral:rRNA from 1 species